UACGAAGGGGGCUAGCGUUGCUCGGAAUCACUGGGCGUAAAGGGUGCGUAGGCGGGUCUUUAAGUCAGGGGUGAAAUCCUGGAGCUCAACUCCAGAACUGCCUUUGAUACUGAAGAUCUUGAGUUCGGGGGAGGUGAGUGGAACUGCGAGUGUAGAGGUGAAAUUCGUAGAUAUUCGCAAGAACACCAGUGGCGAAGGCGGCUCACUGGCCCAUAACUGACGCUGAGGCACGAAAGCGUGGGGAGCAAACAGG
rnacentral:rRNA from 1 species